AAGGGUUGGUGGCGCCCUGGCCGCUGUGGGGCGACAUGCUGGAACGGCCUAGGGUUCAAGUGGACAGGGAUCAAGAAAUGUCUGUGCCUGGGGGCAAAGCUUUGCUGGAAUGAAAGGAGGAGCUUCCGGGUGGCUCAGGCUGUCCUCGGAUACAAGCAAACCUCUCCUGAUUGAUCAUGGCAGUUGUUUUAAGAAGGAAAUCAUGUACAAGAAGGAUCACUGAGUAGUGUCAUGAUUUCAACAAAAGUGCUUCGUAGGCUCUGCCAGCCAUUCCCUACCGAGUCAGGGUGUGUGCGAGUGACAGUGAGGUGAACCCCAGUGGAAUGUUCUGGUGAGUCCUUCGCCUCUGUGACGCUCAGUCUCUCCUCCCAAAGAUGCCUGGCUCUUUACCAAGAAAUUGCUCUAGAUGAUGGAGAACUUAAACACAUAUGGAAAACAUGAGAAAUACAAAUGGAUGAAGGGUUUUUUCUUUUUUUAUUUAUGUU
rnacentral:lncRNA from 1 species